AAACGAACGAAGCAAGCGGCGCGGCAGAGAGACUACAUUCUUGAGCAGGGCUGAGUAUUACAGAAACAUCAUAGUUAAAGACUUAAGUUAAGAUUGGAAUGCCUUAUAGCUGCAUAGCAGGCGCGUGCCGUAUGGGCAGGUGGGGCGGCGAACUCCCUGCAAAAGCAUUCUCCCAAAAAAAUAGUUCCUCAGUAAAUCAUUGCUCCAA